rnacentral:lncRNA from 1 species
CUCUCUGUGGCUCUCUGUGUGCCCCUGGGACCCCCAGACCCUGGGACACUCAUGAAUGCCUCCUGGUCACCCACAGACGAACAAAGCCCAAGGUCAAGGGAAGCAGAGGAGGAGGAUGACAAGGUGGCCCUGCUGACUCCCAGCAGCAGCAAGCGGGUGCCCUUGGCAGGGACACGCAGCCUCUGGAGGGAACCCCACACCACGCUCUGGGCCUGGGCUGCUGCACUCUGGUCCCGGAUGAACCCCCAGCUGAGCCUUCUCAACAUCAUCAUCACCAUCUACCUGCUGCUCAUGGUGGCCUUGCUGGUGUCCUCGGGGUACAUCGGGCUGCGCAUCGUGGAGCUGGAGCAGCAGUUGGCAUUGGCAGGGGCUCAGCCACACCCCAACCCACCACAGCAGUGAGUGACUGGGGUGGGGGCCCUUUGUGCCCAGCAGAGACCCCCCUCAGCCUGCCUCCCCCUGCCCAGGUACAAGACAACGCGAGGCCAGUGAGGACCCGCCAUCACUGGUGCCCUGGACAGGGGGUGCAGGGGCUGCCCCAACCCCUUCCUCUGCUUCUCAGGGGGCUCCAUCAGCAAGUGCCUUCCAGCCCCCCACGGUGCCUGGGAAGCCCAGAGGGGGUGUGGGGCUCCAUCUCACUCCCCCUGUGUCUCCCACCCUGAGCAGCAGCAGGAGGGAACAAAGAGCAGCACAUGGGGAGGGGUUGGGGCCACCCCUACCCAGCCCUCCCUGCCCAGCGGGGCAGAGGGGCCUGGGCCCAGGCAAUGCAGGGGCAAAGAAAACAAA